rnacentral:lncRNA from 1 species
AGAUUCCAGGUACCAGAAUGAUUCUUCAGAUCCUCGUGACCUUACUGCUAGUCGUAGCAAUACAAACAGACAUGGUAUAGACAAAAUUAACAUCACACCAAACAUAAGAACAUACUGCAUAAUAAUGAUCUACGCGUUGCUACGAGAUCGUGGGAACGAGAACCACUAAAAUCGAAGUUACGUUAAGGAGUUAUAAUUUUAUAGAAGAUUUAUGUGAUUAAAAUAUUAAACUAUAUUAUAAAUUAGUUAAUAUAAAUCAUAUAAGAGCUUAUUCUAUAUAUAAUUAUCUCUACUUUAAUCUAAGUUAUAAAUUGACCAUAGAUCAUAUUCUAGUAGAUUAUAAUGAUAAGCAAUUUAACCAGACUAACCAACAUAAAUUAAAUACUUAUCUAAUUAUAAAAUAAUGAGACAUGGUAUAGUAAAUGUUGUUAUCGCAUAGUAAAUAUUUGUACGAGACUAACACAACUUGAAUGGAUCAAAUCAGAGUUAUAGAUUUUAAGUUAUGAAUUUCUAAAGAUUCUAUGUGUUUUGUACAAGAUUAAAUAGGAUAUAAAUUUUAAUGUGACUUUCAUGUCAAAACAGUGGCACUAAUUGAUAAACAAUAAUAUUAUAAAAUUAUAGGAACUAGAAUGAAUUAAUUUGGAGCUACAAUGGAUUUUCUAUGAAUUAAAUAAGUUUCUGGAAUUAUUUUAACACAAAAAAUCAUUUUCUGAUUGAAUUUCUGAAUUUUCAUAUGAUUCUUGACUACACGCCAAUUCCCAGAGAAGACAGGGGCCACGGUGUAAAAUGUUCUAAGGCUCAGUCUAAGUGUAGAGUGGGCUGUGGGUUAAUUAUCGAAGACUUGAGGGGCUCAUACGAAAAAGACGCACGACGAAGGGGUACAGUUAUAUCCUUGCUGUUGGAUCACCGAUCUACGGAUCAGAUUAGAUCCAAACCUUUCUGAACCGGUACACUAUCCUAUCCGCGGGAUCCGACAACAAGGGCCAGGAUUAAACGACGCUCCUUACGAAUCGGUGCAGAGACCCAGCCGUCGGAUCAGAGAACCACGACCCAGAUCGCGAAGUAUCCCGGCUGGUUCUUAACGGUCCGAUCUAGAUUGAGGGUCCGGAUUUAAACACCGAAGGGGUAAGACUCAUUCUAAUCUCCACCUCUCACUCACAAUUCGACGACGCGCCUAUGUUCUUCCACCACGCGAUGACCAGAGAAGGUGUAGCAGAUGCCCGUGGCGGCUCUCCACCAGCGUGCGGCGAAUCCGGCGACCCGGUACCCGAAUCCUAUGGACGAUGGGCGUUAUACACUAGAUAGAACAAGGCGAUCGUCAUGGAAGGUAGCUCACCAAUGAUGGCAUCCGGCAGAGUCCCGUCGUCGAGGAAGGAUGGCCAUGGCGGAAAUCCCCAGCUCUGGCGAACAAUUCACAUCUUGCCCGCUAUACACCGUGACCUCCACCACCACACACACGCUCGAUUUGAUCCCGCGAAGCUUCAAAGCCAUCUGCCGGUGCUGGAGCGACAACGCUCAAUGAUUUCGCCCGUGGCGGAUCAAUGAUGGCGGCUGCACUCUCCCCUCUGUCCCGCUACACAGGGCGUCUUGGUGGUUCUCAACUCGACUUCGUGGCUGCGCUGGUUUCGCGGGGCCGCAACGGAGAGGUGGUUGUGGAUUAUAUGCAGGUGAGGGCCAAUGACCGAGUCGGCUGGGUCAAGCAACCCGAUCGAUCUGUUAUAGGGAGAAGAAGGUCUGAUGAAGUGGUCCAAGGUGUCAACGACCCGGGUGGAGAAGAGCGCGCGCCACAUGAUUGACGGGCGGGCUCCACCCGUUCGGCACACCGAUGUGGCAGGAUCGACGGAAUUGAGUUGGGCUCGGUGGCAACUGGCUAGGCC